rnacentral:rRNA from 1 species
AAUCAACGCUGGCGGCGUGCCUAACACAUGCAAGUCGAGCGAGAAAAGGGGAGCAAUCCCCUGAGUACAGCGGCGCACGGGUGAGUAACACGUGGGUAAUCUGCCCUGGAGUGGGGAAUAACACCGGGAAACCGGUGCUAAUACCGCAUACGAACACAGAGUCUGCGGGUUUUGUGAUGAAAGGAGCAAUUCGCUCUAGGAGGAGCCCGCGGCUGAUUAGCUAGUUGGUGAGGUAAUGGCUCACCAAGGCAACGAUCAGUAUCCGGUCUGAGAGGACGGUCGGACACACUGGAACUGAGACACGGUCCAGACUCCUACGGGAGGCAGCAGUGGGGAAUUUUUGGCAAUGGGGGCAACCCUGACCAAGCAACGCCGCGUGGGUGAUGAAGUCUCUUGGGACGUAAAACCCUUUCGACGGGGACGAAAGCCGCAAGGUUUGACGGUACCCGUAGAAGAAGCCCCGGCUAACUCCGUGCCAGCAGCCGCCGUAACAC